rnacentral:rRNA from 1 species
CCUACGGGAGGCAGCAGUGGGGAAUAUUGCGCAAUGGGCGAAAGCCUGACGCAGCGACGCCGCGUGAGGGAUGAAGGUCUUCGGAUCGUAAACCUCUGUCCGCAGGGAAGAACGGUCACUGUGCUAAUCAGCCGUGAAUUGACGGUACCUGCAAAGGAAGCACCGGCUAACUCCGUGCCAGCAGCCGCGGUAAUACGGAGGGGUCGAGCGUUAAUCGGAAUUACUGGGCGUAAAGCGCUCGUAGGCGGUAGUUCAAGUCAAGGGUGAAAUCCCCGCGCUCAACGUGGGAACUGCCUUUGACACUGGCAAACUGUAGUGUGUGAGAGGAUAGUGGAAUUCCAGGUGUAGGAGUGAAAUCCGUAGAUAUCUGGAGGAACAUCAGUGGCGAAGGCGACUAUCUGGCACAUAACUGACGCUGAGGAGCGAAAGCGUGGGUAGCAAACAGGAUUAGAUACCCCUGUAGUC